rnacentral:ribozyme from 14 species
ACAUAGCAUAUCAGAAAAAGAUGAAGGUAAGAAUAAGGAGAGAAAGAAAAUCAACAUCUCAGGCUGUCUUUAGCUUUUUAGUCUACUUUCUCUUUUUCUAUUUUCUGCUUCUUUCUAU